rnacentral:rRNA from 1 species
GGAAGGCCUUUGGGUUGUAAACCUCUUUUCUCAGGGAAGAAGAUCUGACGGUACCUGAGGAAUAAGCAUCGGCUAACUCCGUGCCAGCAGCCGCGGUAAUACGGAGGAUGCAAGCGUUAUCCGGAAUUAUUGGGCGUAAAGCGUCCGCAGGUGGUCUUUCAAGUCUGCUGUCAAAGACCAGAGCUUAACUCUGGGCAGGCGGUGGAAACUGAGAGACUAGAGUUCGGUAGGGGUAGCGGGAAUUCCCAGUGUAGCGGUGAAAUGCGUAGAUAUUGGGAAGAACAUCGGUGGCGAAGGCGUGCUACUGGACCGAAACUGAC